ACCUUGAGACCGGCGCACGGGUGAGUAACGCGUAUGCAACCUGCCCUUUACAGGGGGAUAGCCCGGAGAAAUCCGGAUUAAUACCCCAUAGUCCUGUAACCUCGCAUGGGGAAUCAGGUAAAGCUUCGGUGGUAAAGGAUGGGCAUGCGUGACAUUAGCUUGUUGGCGGGGUAACGGCCCACCAAGGCUGCGAUGUCUAGGGGUUCUGAGAGGAAGGUCCCCCACACUGGUACUGAGACACGGGCCAAACUCCUACGGGAGGCAGCAGUGAGGAAUAUUGCGCAAUGGGCGAAAGCCUGAUGCAGCAACGCCGCGUGAGGGACGAAGGCCUUCGGGUCGUAAACCUCUUUUCUGAGGGAAGAGACAGGACGGUACCUCAGGAAUAAGUCUCGGCUAACUACGUGCCAGCAGCCGCGGUAAAACGUAGGAGGCGAGCGUUAUCCGGAUUUACUGGGCGUAAAGCGCACGCAGGCGGCUUCGUUAGUCGGAUGUGAAAGCUCCUGGCUUAACUGGGAGAGGCCAUUCGAUACUGCGGGGCUUGAGGUUGGGAGAGGGGUGUGGAAUUCCCGGUGUAGUGGUGGAAUGCGUAGAUAUCGGGAGGAACACCAGUGGCGAAGGCGGCACCCUGGCCCACACCUGACGCUGAGGUGCGAAAGCGUGGGUAGCAAACAGGAUUAGAUACCCUGGUAGUCCACGCCGUAAACUAUGUCAACUAGGUGUUGGUAGUGUUACACCAUCAGUGCCGCAGCAA
rnacentral:rRNA from 1 species